GAUGAACGCUGGCGGCGUGCCUAAUACAUGCAAGUCGAGCGAACGGACGAGAAGCUUGCUUCUCUGAUGUUAGCGGCGGACUGGUGAGUAACACGUGGAUAACCUACCUAUAAGACUGGGAUAACUUCGGGAAACCGUAGCUAAUACCGGAUAAUAUUUUGAACCGCAUGGUUCAAAAGUGAAAGACGGUCUUGCUGUCACUUAUAGAUGGAUCCGCGCUGCAUUAGCUAGUUGGUAAGGUAACGGCUUACCAAGGCAACGAUGCAUAGCCGACCUGAGAGGGUGAUCGGCCACACUGGAACUGAGACACGGUCCAGACUCCUACGGGAGGCAGCAGUAGGGAAUCUUCCGCAAUGGGCGAAAGCCUGACGGAGCAACGCCGCGUGAGUGAUGAAGGUCUUCGGAUCGUAAAACUCUGUUAUUAGGGAAGAACAUAUGUGUAAGUAACUGUGCACAUCUUGACGGUACCUAAUCAGAAAGCCACGGCUAACUACGUG
rnacentral:rRNA from 1 species